ACGCGAUGAACCUUACCAGGUCUUGACAUCCUUCGCUACUUCUAGAGAUAGAAGGUUCCCCUUCGGGGGACGAAGUGACAGGUGGUGCAUGGUUGUCGUCAGCUCGUGUCGUGAGAUGUUGGGUUAAGUCCCGCAACGAGCGCAACCCUUGAUCUUAGUUGCCAGCAUUCAGUUGGGCACUCUAAGGUGACUGCCGGUGACAAACCGGAGGAAGGUGGGGAUGACGUCAAAUCAUCAUGCCCCUUAUGACCUGGGCUACACACGUGCUACAAUGGAUGGUACAAAGGGCUGCAAGACUGCGAAGUCAAGCCAAUCCCAUAAAACCAUUCUCAGUUCGGAUUGCAGGCUGCAACUCGCCUGCAUGAAGCCGGAAUCGCUAGUAAUCGCGGAUCAGCAUGCCGCGGUGAAUACGUUCCCGGGCCUUGUACUCACCGCCCGU
rnacentral:rRNA from 1 species